rnacentral:lncRNA from 1 species
ACUUUCUCAUUUUUAACCUGUAAACUAGAUUUUGAUCCGCGCAACCGUGCGGGUGUUUGUCUUCACUUUUCUAUACAUAAAUUAUUAUUUCAAAACAUAAUUGGUAUAUAUUGUUGUUAAAAAAAUGGUAUAUUUUUUUAACUUUAAUCAUAUACUUAAAUGUUUAUAUAACUAUUUCAAAUACAAUAAUUUUAUAAUUUACAUGUUAUAAUAAAUCAAUUGUUUAAAAUCAUAUGUAUUUG